rnacentral:rRNA from 1 species
UACGUAGGGGGCUAGCGUUGUCCGGAUUUAUUGGGCGUAAAGAGCGUGUAGGCGGCCAGAUAGGUCUGCUGUGAAAACUCGAGGCUCAACCUCGAGAUGUCGGCGGAAACCAUUUGGCUAGAGUCCGGAAGAGGAAAGUGGAAUUCCUGGUGUAGCGGUGAAAUGCGCAGAUAUCAGGAGGAACACCGAUGGCGAAGGCAGGUCUCUGGGCAUUAACUGACGCUGAGGAGCGAAAGCAUGGGGAGCGAACGGG